UAGGAUGAACGCUAGCUACAGGCUUAACACAUGCAAGUCGAGGGGCAGCAUCAUCAAAGCUUGCUUUGAUGGAUGGCGACCGGCGCACGGGUGAGUAACACGUAUCCAACCUGCCGACAACACUGGGAUAGCCUUUCGAAAGAAAGAUUAAUACCGGAUGGCAUAAUUAUUCCGCAUGGGAUAAUUAUUAAAGAAUUUCGGUUGUCGAUGGGGAUGCGUUCCAUUAGGCAGUUGGCGGGGUAACGGCCCACCAAACCUACGAUGGAUAGGGGUUCUGAGAGGAAGGUCCCCCACAUUGGAACUGAGACACGGUCCAAACUCCUACGGGAGGCAGCAGUGAGGAAUAUUGGUCAAUGGACGAGAGUCUGAACCAGCCAAGUAGCGUGAAGGAUGACUGCCCUAUGGGUUGUAAACUUCUUUUAUACGGGAAUAAAGUGAGCCACGUGUGGCUUUUUGUAUGUACCGUAUGAAUAAGGAUCGGCUAACUCCGUGCCAGCAGCCGCGGUAAUACGGAGGAUCCGAGCGUUAUCCGGAUUUAUUGGGUUUAAAGGGAGCGUAGGCGGGUUGUUAAGUCAGUUGUGAAAGUUUGCGGCUCAACCGUAAAAUUGCAGUUGAUACUGGCGACCUUGAGUGCAACAGAGGUAGGCGGAAUUCGUGGUGUAGCGGUGAAAUGCUUAGAUAUCACGAAGAACUCCGAUUGCGAAGGCAGCUUACUGGAUUGUAACUGACGCUGAUGCUCGAAGGUGUGGGUAUCAAACAGGAUUAGAUACCCUGGUAGUCCACACAGUAAACGAUGAAUACUCGCUGUUGGCGAUAUACAGUCAGCGGCCAAGCGAAAGCAUUAAGUAUUCCACCUGGGGAGUACGCCGGCAACGGUGAAACUCAAAGGAAUUGACGGGGGCCCGCACAAGCGGAGGAACAUGUGGUUUAAUUCGAUGAUACGCGAGGAACCUUACCCGGGCUUAAAUUGCAACUGACGGAACCGGAAACGGUUCUUUCUUCGGACAGUUGUGAAGGGGCUGCAUGGUUGUCGUCAGCUCGUGCCGUGAGGUGUCGGCUUAAGUGCCAUAACGAGCGCAACCCUUAUGGGUAGUUACCAUCAGGUUAUGCUGGGGACUCUACCCGGACUGCCGUCGUAAGAUGUGAGGAAGGUGGGGAUGACGUCAAAUCAGCACGGCCCUUACGUCCGGGGCUACACACGUGUUACAAUGGGGGGUACAGAAGGCAGCUACACGGCGACGUGGUGCUAAUCCCAAAAGCCUCUCUCAGUUCGGAUUGGAGUCUGCAACCCGACUCCAUGAAGCUGGAUUCGCUAGUAAUCGCGCAUCAGCCACGGCGCGGUGAAUACGUUCCCGGGCCUUGUACACACCGCCCGUCAAGCCAUGAAAGCCGGGGGUACCAAAAGUACGUAACCGCGAGGAGCGUCCUAGGG
rnacentral:rRNA from 1 species